rnacentral:piRNA from 1 species
GCCAGGUUCUUCAGUGGACCUCUUCAGUCAC